UCUAACAUGGCAGAUUAGUGCAAUGAAUUUAAGAUUCAUAAAUGAGAACUCUUUCUCUGUUAGAA
rnacentral:tRNA from 1 species